rnacentral:rRNA from 1 species
AACGAACGCUGGCGGCAUGCCUAACACAUGCAAGUCGAACGAGACCUUCGGGUCUAGUGGCGCACGGGUGCGUAACGCGUGGGAACCUGCCCUUAGGUUCGGAAUAACUCCCCGAAAGGGGUGCUAAUACCGGAUAAUGUCUUCGGACCAAAGAUUUAUCGCCUUUGGAUGGGCCCGCGUUGGAUUAGCUAGUUGGUAGGGUAAAAGCCUACCAAGGCGACGAUCCAUAGCUGGUCUGAGAGGAUGAUCAGCCACACUGGGACUGAGACACGGCCCAGACUCCUACGGGAGGCAGCAGUGGGGAAUAUUGGACAAUGGGCGAAGGCCUGAUCCAGCAAUGCCGCGUGAGUGAUGAAGGCCUUAGGGUUGUAAAGCUCUUUUACCCGGGAUGAUAAUGACAGUACCGGGAGAAUAAGCUCCGGCUAACUCCGU